rnacentral:rRNA from 6 species
AAUACAUUUUUACAAUACUGUGAACAAACCAGAGUGUAUAAAACAUGUAAUAUAUUAUAUAUUUAGCAAUGAAUGUUUUAUCAUGGAAUAUUGCUUUUUAAUAUAAUAUCGAUGGAGAUAGUUGGAGUUAAGAGUACUGAUAGGCGAGCGGUGAAAUGCAUUGACCCUAUUAAGACUAACAAAAGCGAAAGCACUUAACUAGAUUAUUCUCUUUGUAUUAUUACAAUGAAGAGCGAAGGUUGGGGGAACAAAGAGGAUCAGAUACCCUCGUAGUCCUAUUUUUACAUCAAACUAUGGGAUUUCAAUUACUACUCUCCAAAAUAAACUAUGUAUCGGAUAUAAUUGAGUACUUAAUUGUUUACUCUUAUAUUUAAUAUUAUUAUUUUUAUUAUUGAUUAUAUGUACUUUGAGCUCAUAUAAUUAUAUAGGUGAGAUGUAAGCAUUAUAGGUGAAUAAUAUAUAAGUAAUAUUAUAUUAUUAUGAUCCUUAUUUAUAAAAAUGUAAUGUGAUG